UUGGUCUUGCGGCUAAUACAAAAUCUUGGCAUAUCCCAACUUUCACUCUUCCAUUCCCGUAGAUGUCGUGCGAAGGAUUCUGGAACCGCAGCGAAGAAGAAACACCAACGACAGCCGACUGCACCGCUACCGUCACAGAGCUAUGGCUAGUUCGAGGCGAUGCGGAAAACGACGACAAGGAACAAGGAAUCAGUCAGAAAACAGAGGUAUCUUCGUGUUCCAUAGCAACCUCACGACCAGCUAGAUCGUGCCUCACCAACUGAGUUUUAACACUUUUGUGUGCACGGUAAUAGGGGGAUGAGACCAACAUCUAACAAUUUCAAAAACUUUAAGGGAUUAUGUUACCUGUUUUUUCUAAACCCAAUAAGGAGUUUACUUUGUAUAAGUCUUUCCUAUCAGAUGAUGUGUGCCCUUCAUUUUGUAUAUUGUGUGCACAUUAGCAAAGUCCAGCAUUUUAUGUCAUUAUGAAUAUGUGUGCACUCGUUACCACUGGUGUGUGCAUGGUACCACGUACGUGUGCAUUUCAUGGUGUCAAAAUUGGACGAUAUGACAUUUUUUGCUCUUAAGUACCACGUUGUGUGCACAUAAUAACACCUUUUUUUUUUUGCUUGGGCUAUUUAUUUAUGGAUUAUUAUUGGAACAAUGUAUUUUUGCA